AUUGAACGCUGGCGGCAGGCCUAACACAUGCAAGUCGAACGGUAACAGGAAGAAGCUUGCUUCUUUGCUGACGAGUGGAGGACGGGUGUGUAAUGUCUGGGAAACUGCCUGAUGGAGGGGGAUAACUACUGGAAACGGUAGCUAAUACCGCAUAACGUCGCAAGACCAAAAAGGGGGACCUUCGGGCCUCUUGCCAUCGGAUGUGCCCAGAUGGGAUUAGCUAGUAGGCGGGGUAACGGCUCACCUAGGCGACGAUCCCUAGCUGGUCUGAGAGGAUGACGAGCCACACUGGAACUGAGAACCGGUCCAGACUCCUACGGGAGGCAGCAGUGGGGAAUAUUGAAAAAUGGGGGCAAGCCUGAUGCAGCCAUGCCGCGUGUAUGAAGAAGGCCUUCGGGUUGUAAAGUACUUUCAGCGGGGAGGAAGGGAGUAAAGGUAAUACCUUUGCUCAUUGACGUUACCCGCAGAAGAAGAACCGGCUAACUCCGUG
rnacentral:rRNA from 1 species